GACGAACGCUGGCGGCGUGCUUAACACAUGCAAGUCGAACGGAAAGGCCCUGCUUUUGUGGGGUGCUCGAGUGGCGAACGGGUGAGUAACACGUGAGUAACCUGCCCUUGACUUUGGGAUAACUUCAGGAAACUGGUGCUAAUACCUGAUAGGAGCUCCUGCUGCAUGGUGGGGGUUGGAAAGUUUCGGCGGUUGGGGAUGGACUCGCGGCUUAUCAGCUUGUUGGUGGGGUAGUGGCUUACCAAGGCUUUGACGGGUAGCCGGCCUGAGAGGGUGACCGGCCACAUUGGGACUGAGAUACGGCCCAGACUCCUACGGGAGGCAGCAGUGGGGAAUAUUGCACAAUGGGCGGAAGCCUGAUGCAGCAACGCCGCGUGCGGGAUGACGGCCUUCGGGUUGUAAACCGCUUUCGCCUGUGACGAAGCGUGAGUGACGGUAAUGGGUAAAGAAGCACCGGCUAACUACGUG
rnacentral:rRNA from 1 species